GGCUCGGUAGCGGAGGGUCCACAUCUGCUUCAAAUUCUGAUUUUGUAGAUUUCACAGAAUACAGAGCAUGCCUGUUCGACUCAGGCCCGAGCCA